AGCUGUCACCACAUUCUAUAAAUCACUCUCAUAUUGACUGAAUGGGUCCAACCUGAGCUGUUAGGAUGGGAAUUGAACAUAUUUAUUCUUUCAGAAGCGGUAAUUGGACGUCUGUUAGGUGGCGGGCCUUUAACGAGAUUUGAAACUGGUGGAUGGACGGCUUCUCAGGGAACAGACACAACACUAUCGGACCCUCCCACUCAGAAUCCUUAUGCGUUAAACCUGCUCAAGAAACAGUUGGCAUUUCCUGAAGAAGGAUGAGAGACAUACGGAGCAGAGUCACCUAGCUACCAGAAUCUGAAGCAGAGAUACUCCAACUACCUGCAAAUGAACAGUAAGAAGCAAAGCUGUCCACCAAUCUCAUCCUAGAUCAGCUCAUUCUCAGAAGAACCAUGCUUGAGAUGCUGGUUGUUCUUGACCACUAUUUUGGGGAAGUUCUUUCUACAGUAAUUGCUGAUUGAUAUAUGUCCUGAACACUUCAAACAGGUUGUUUAUGUCACCAAAAUUCCAAGUUGCAGUAACUUAGAAUUUUACAUUGUAUUCACUUACAUAAUUUCAAAUUU
rnacentral:lncRNA from 1 species